rnacentral:rRNA from 1 species
CUUAAUGAGAGUUUGAUCCUAGCUCAGGGUGAAUGCUGGCGGCGUGGAUAAGUCAUGCAAGUCGAACGCUGGAGGUCGGAGAACAGAGGACAGAAGUCAGACAGAAAUAGUACAAUGCACAACAUGGACUAUCGCAAGCUGGAUGUGUAUCAGCGGGCGCACGCAUUAUUUCCAAAGAUCUAUCGAUUGGUACGAGCAUGGAAACAGAUUGACCAACGAGAAAUUGGAAGCCAAAUAAUACGCGCAGCUAAUUCUAUCCAUGCGAACAUCGCGGAAGGUAGCAAUAAGACCGUUCCGGAUUUCAAGCGUUACCUAACUAACGCGAUUGGUUCGUGUGACGAAUUGGUAAGUCAUAUCAAUGAUGCGAUUAGCAUCGGGCUGGUUAAUUCAGCCACAGGCGAACAUCUGGUCGACGAGUAUCGAAUCGUUGGCAAACAGUUGAUGCGCCUGAAACAGCAUUGGAAAUAGUCCGUCCGAUUUCUGAAUUCCGUUCUCCGACUUCUAGAGUGGCAGACGAGGUAGUAACACGUAGGUACGUCCCCCGAAGUCGGGCAUAGCCAUCCGAAAGGAUGGGUAAUUCCCGAUAGUCCCGCAAGGGUAAAGGCAAGUAGCAAUAUUCGCCGCUUCGGGAGCGGCCUGCGUAGUAUCAGCUAGUUGGUAAGGUAAUGGCUUACCAAGGCUACGACGCUUAGGGGGGCUGAGAGGCCGAUCCCCACCGAUGGAACUGAGAACGGUCCAUACUCCUACGGGAGGCUGCAGACGAGAAUAUUCCGCAAUGGACGAAAGUCUGACGGAGCGACGCCGCGUGAUCGAUGAAGUGCUUCGGUACGUAAAGAUCUUUUAUCGGGGACGAAGUUUAUUGACGGUACC